ensembl:lncRNA
AAGGGAUGGAGCCAGGAUCCACCUCUUUCCCAGACCUCAUUUAAGGGCUGGCAGUGGAAGUAAGAGCAUUUUGCUAGAGAUUCCUGUGUACCUGGGACCUUCUGAAGGAGCUGUGGAAGUCAGCCAUGCUCAGCCAGGACUUCACCCCCCAAGGAGCAGAUGAACCGUGCCAAAGGCUGAAUGCCUGGAAAUCCCCAGCAUGAAAGUCUUACGAUGAGCCCCAUAUGCAAUCUACCGCUGCCUUAGUAGAGGUAAGAAUUGAGGUUCCAAGUUGUCCCUUGCCUUAACUGGACCUGCUGGUAGAAGUGUACCAGAGAAAACUUCCUUACACUUUGUGGCACUUGAUAGUGCUGUUCAACACACGUGCAGAGUGGCGGCCCUGAGCACACCUCGUUGCAAGCUGCUUUGGGUUUAUGGUCCCUCUGUGGUCUUUGGGUAGCGUACUGGUCCUAGCUGGAGGAGUUUACAGCCAUGUUCUGGAAGAUACAUUCUUUGUACUUACCUGUUAGAUUUUCAUAGAAGCUAUGUGUAUUUCCUAACAAGAUACAAAUGAUGGACUUGGUAUUCUUAGUGAUCUAUCCCUCUGCCUUCAAUCCAUUCUCCUGCAUAUCUUUUUGCUUUCCUUUCAUUGCAAUCAUGUUAACUGUGUACUGUAGCCAUUGCUGUCCGUGAUGUAUUUGUUUCAAAGCAUUUCACUUAUUAAGAGAGAGUUGGAUAACAAGUAAUAAAAAAAAUCCAAGCAUGUGACCAUUUGAUUGGUAAGUUUUGAGUGCAGUCCUACCAUCAUAAUGAAAGAGCAGAUCCCACAGAAUAAUACAAUGGAAGAAUAAUCUUUGCCACAGGGGAACUCUUGCAAGCAAAAUCAAUCUUGAUAGCUGUUUCUGUGGUUUAGAUGAAAUUAAUAGGCCAAGGGUGGGAAUCUAAUCCCAUGUUAACAACAUUUUUCAUGGCACCAUGAGCUAUGUAUCAUGUUCUCCUCAUGCAGUUGUGACCAUUUUUCAUGUAUCAAUACAUUAUGAUUCACCGUGAUGUACACAAACCAAAAGUCCAGAUGACAUUUUAGGGCUGUUACUGAAAGUUGGGGUUAUUUCUGUAGUUUAGCGUCUUGUUUUGUGAUUGUUGUUAGUUUUUUAUUUAUUCUUUUACGAAGAUGAUUCUAUUUUCUGUCUGUAUGAGAGGUUUACUUCUACAUUUAAGUAAUUUGCUAUUCUGCAGGGCCUACUUUAAGGAUUACAGGAAAAUUUAGCUUGGGC